rnacentral:lncRNA from 1 species
GUCUCUGCAGUAAGAGAAGAACGGCACUGGGGAGGAGCAGCCGUGCAGGUCUGCCCCUGAGAGGAAGUGUGGUCAGCAUUCCCAUGGAGCCCUGACCGGACCGCUCAGGAGUGGGCAUUCAGCAAGGAUCUUUGUCUGAUAUUCUGAACCCCAGAGUCAUAUGAGAAGAAGAAAAAUGAAUGGAUGAAGGAAUAAGUCUCUUCUUCAACUCAGGAAAAAAGACAGCAAAUUAUUCUGUUGUAUUGAAAUACUACACAAUAUGCAUGUGAUGGGUUCCUGAUGCCCAGAGUUCUGGGCUCCUUGCCUUGCUGGAUCAUAUUAUCAUUAUGCUAAGCCAAUGGUUCCUCAUUUACUAUGGAGUAAAUGGAAAAAACAUCCCAAACACAGCAUCACAUGGAAUGUGGUUC